rnacentral:misc_RNA from 1 species
CUUCUCGAUGAGGAAUAUCGGGUUUGGCAGCUUUGAUUCGCUGUAUUUCCUCCUUCAUGAAGCGAUUGUAAGCAGACGGAAGCCUGUGUUUCUUCUCAGGAGGCUUGACAACAAACGGGGCCUUUGGGAUCAUUUGUUCACUGGAUGUAGAUGAAGAUGUAGGCAUUUGUGACGUUGGCAGAUGCUUCCUACAGUCAUUGCAGUGGCCCUGAAAAUUUAUGUGUUGGUCUGGGGUGAGUGGCUGAACCAAAGGUCUAGGGUUGAUGAAGGAGAUAUGGUUGCAGUGACCACACUUCACUGUCACCGUAUCCAUCAAUCGCUUGCAUGGUACUCCAACCGCAAGAACAGUGUUGCAGUAGGUGCAACGAACGUAGCAGAGGUGGUCGGAGGGGGAGACGAG